rnacentral:rRNA from 1 species
AGCGUACACGGUGGAUGCCCUGGCAGUCAGAGGCGAUGAAGGACGUGCUAAUCUGCGAUAAGCGUCGGUGAGGUGAUAUGAACCGUUAUAACCGGCGAUUUCCGAAUGGGGAAACCCAGUGUGAUUCGUCACACUAUCAUUAACUGAAUCCAUAGGUUAAUGAGGCGAACCGGGGGAACUGAAACAUCUAAGUACCCCGAGGAAAAGAAAUCAACCGAGAUUCCCCCAGUAGCGGCGAGCGAACGGGGAGGAGCCCAGAGCCUGAAUCAGUGUGUGUGUUAGUGGAAGCGUCUGGAAAGGCGCGCGAUACAGGGUGACAGCCCCGUACACAAAAAUGCACAUGCUGUGAGCUCGAUGAGUAGGGCGGGACACGUGGUAUCCUGUCUGAAUAUGGGGGGACCAUCCUCCAAGGCUAAAUACUCCUGACUGACCGAUAGUGAACCAGUACCGUGAGGGAAAGGCGAAAAGAACCCCGGCGAGGGGAGUGAAAAAGAACCUGAAACCGUGUACGUACAAGCAGUGGGAGCCUCUUAAUGGGGUGACUGCGUACCUUUUGUAUAAUGGGUCAGCGACUUAUAUUCUGUAGCAAGGUUAACCGAAUAGGGGAGCCGAAGGGAAACCGAGUCUUAACUGGGCGUUAAGUUGCAGGGUAUAGACCCGAAACCCGGUGAUCUAGCCAUGGGCAGGUUGAAGGUUGGGUAACACUAACUGGAGGACCGAACCGACUAAUGUUGAAAAAUUAGCGGAUGACUUGUGGCUGGGGGUGAAAGGCCAAUCAAACCGGGAGAUAGCUGGUUCUCCCCGAAAGCUAUUUAGGUAGCGCCUCGUGAAUUCAUCUCCGGGGGUAGAGCACUGUUUCGGCAAGGGGGUCAUCCCGACUUACCAACCCGAUGCAAACUGCGAAUACCGGAGAAUGUUAUCACGGGAGACACACGGCGGGUGCUAACGUCCGUCGUGAAGAGGGAAACAACCCAGACCGCCAGCUAAGGUCCCAAAGUCAUGGUUAAGUGGGAAACGAUGUGGGAAGGCCCAGACAGCCAGGAUGUUGGCUUAGAAGCAGCCAUCAUUUAAAGAAAGCGUAAUAGCUCACUGGUCGAGUCGGCCUGCGCGGAAGAUGUAACGGGGCUAAACCAUGCACCGAAGCUGCGGCAGCGACGCUUAUGCGUUGUUGGGUAGGGGAGCGUUCUGUAAGCCUGUGAAGGUGGCCUGUGAGGGUUGCUGGAGGUAUCAGAAGUGCGAAUGCUGACAUAAGUAACGAUAAAGCGGGUGAAAAGCCCGCUCGCCGGAAGACCAAGGGUUCCUGUCCAACGUUAAUCGGGGCAGGGUGAGUCGACCCCUAAGGCGAGGCCGAAAGGCGUAGUCGAUGGGAAACAGGUUAAUAUUCCUGUACUUGGUGUUACUGCGAAGGGGGGACGGAGAAGGCUAUGUUGGCCGGGCGACGGUUGUCCCGGUUUAAGCGUGUAGGCUGGUUUUCCAGGCAAAUCCGGAAAACCAAGGCUGAGGCGUGAUGACGAGGCACUACGGUGCUGAAGUGACAAAUGCCCUGCUUCCAGGAAAAGCCUCUAAGCAUCAGGUAACAUCAAAUCGUACCCCAAACCGACACAGGUGGUCAGGUAGAGAAUACCAAGGCGCUUGAGAGAACUCGGGUGAAGGAACUAGGCAAAAUGGUGCCGUAACUUCGGGAGAAGGCACGCUGAUAUGUAGGUGAAGCGACUUGCUCGUGGAGCUGAAAUCAGUCGAAGAUACCAGCUGGCUGCAACUGUUUAUUAAAAACACAGCACUGUGCAAACACGAAAGUGGACGUAUACGGUGUGACGCCUGCCCGGUGCCGGAAGGUUAAUUGAUGGGGUUAGCGGUAACGCGAAGCUCUUGAUCGAAGCCCCGGUAAACGGCGGCCGUAACUAUAACGGUCCUAAGGUAGCGAAAUUCCUUGKCGGGUAAGUUCCGACCUGCACGAAUGGCGUAAUGAUGGCCAGGCUGUCUCCACCCGAGACUCAGUGAAAUUGAACUCGCUGUGAAGAUGCAGUGUACCCGCGGCAAGACGGAAAGACCCCGUGAACCUUUACUAUAGCUUGACACUGAACAUUGAGCCUUGAUGUGUAGGAUAGGUGGGAGGCUUUGAAGUGUGGACGCCAGUCUGCAUGGAGCCGACCUUGAAAUACCACCCUUUAAUGUUUGAUGUUCUAACGUUGGCCCCUAAUCGGGGUUGCGGACAGUGUCUGGUGGGUAGUUUGACUGGGGCGGUCUCCUCCUAAAGAGUAACGGAGGAGCACGAAGGUUGGCUAAUCCUGGUCGGACAUCAGGAGGUUAGUGCAAUGGCAUAAGCCAGCUUGACUGCGAGCGUGACGGCGCGAGCAGGUGCGAAAGCAGGUCAUAGUGAUCCGGUGGUUCUGAAUGGAAGGGCCAUCGCUCAACGGAUAAAAGGUACUCCGGGGAUAACAGGCUGAUACCGCCCAAGAGUUCAUAUCGACGGCGGUGUUUGGCACCUCGAUGUCGGCUCAUCACAUCCUGGGGCUGAAGUAGGUCCCAAGGGUAUGGCUGUUCGCCAUUUAAAGUGGUACGCGAGCUGGGUUUAGAACGUCGUGAGACAGUUCGGUCCCUAUCUGCCGUGGGCGCUGGAGAACUGAGGGGGGCUGCUCCUAGUACGAGAGGACCGGAGUGGACGCAUCACUGGUGUUCGGGUUGUCAUGCCAAUGGCACUGCCCGGUAGCUAAAUGCGGAAGAGAUAAGUGCUGAAAGCAUCUAAGCACGAAACUUGCCCCGAGAUGAGUUCU